GGUAUACACCAAUUAACUCAGACUAUUUGACCUAUUUGUCUUCAUACAGCCUCAUGUAUUGGAUCAUGAACCAAAUUCAAUACCUGCUCAUAAUACCUAUGGAAAUGAUACCAUAUAUACCUGGAUUCACAUCCCACUUUAUUCUACUUGGGACCAGAAACCCCACAAGAGAACAAAGCUUGUUCACUGAUAAAUGUCCACAUCUCUUCCAGGAUCUAACAAGAGUUUGUGCUCAGUAAGUAUUGGGUGGGUGGAUGGAUGGAUAGAUGGAUGGAUGAACGGGAAGCUA
rnacentral:lncRNA from 1 species